rnacentral:lncRNA from 1 species
GGGGAGCCUUAGGGCAGCUACUAUUCACGUGAAUAGUGGCUGUCCUAACCCUCCCAGCAAAAUAUGUUUCCAGCAGUUUACGCUUGCCAUGGCAAAUACUAUUCAUUUUUUUGUUUUUUUCACAACUUUGUUUACUUAAACAAUUAAUUUGGACAAUAUUUUUGGAUAAGAGUUUUGGGUUCCUACGUGUCAAUACUAUUCAUAUCGGAUAAGAUUUUCGGUUUCAAAUUUCAGAUACAUUUCAAAAUUCAAAUUUCAGAUAAAUUUUAAAUUUUAAAUUUCAUUUGAAUUUCAAAUUUUAGAUAAGAUUUUCACCCUAUAAGAUUGCGCCAUGUGUCAUAUCUAUCUGUCUAAAUUUUUCUAUAAAACCAGAGGCUCAACUCUACAUGAUAGAGAAAAAAAUAACUUGAAAGUGAAAAAAUAUUGAGUAGAAAGUGAAUAAUAGUAGAAUGAGAAGAAAAUGUAUGAGGAGUUGGUGUUAAAAGUGAAGAGUAUUGGAUGGUAUUUGUAGAAAAAAAAUU